rnacentral:lncRNA from 1 species
UGGUGCUUGCAAGGAAGAGCCUACGGAAAAGUUUAGAGAUGAAGAAGGAGUUAGAAAUUUAGAAAUGAUGAAGAUGAACAUCCGCAGGCGCUUGGAGGAGGCAAAACGUGAGCAACACUACCGGAGAGAAAUUUGCUUACGAGCCCGCGAGCUGAGAUGUGGAAUGGAACAAAAGAAAUAGGUACACUGCAGUGAAGACUACACAGCUAACUUGAAGUUAAAGCAUAAUUUCAUUCCUAAAUAACGAAAUUGAGAUGUAGAUGCUUUAGCCGCUAUUAUCAUAUAUUAUUCUGUGAAA